AUGCAAGUAGGCCUGAUACCAUUUAUGAGUAUGCGACAUAUACAUAAAUGCCACAUAUGCCUCCCCGGCAUAGACAGGUA
rnacentral:sRNA from 1 species